rnacentral:piRNA from 1 species
UGGGACAUUGGAAGAGGAGAGCAGGUGGC